rnacentral:rRNA from 1 species
GACGAACGCUGGCGGCGUGCUUAACACAUGCAAGUCGAACGGAAAGGCCCUGCUUUUGUGGGGUGCUCGAGUGGCGAACGGGUGAGUAACACGUGAGUAACCUGCCCUUGACUUUGGGAUAACUUCAGGAAACUGGGGCUAAUACCGGAUAGGAGCUCCUGCUGCAUGGUGGGGGUUGGAAAGUUUCGGCGGUUGGGGAUGGACUCGCGGCUUAUCAGCUUGUUGGUGGGGUAGUGGCUUACCAAGGCUUUGACGGGUAGCCGGCCUGAGAGGGUGACCGGCCACAUUGGGACUGGGAUACGGCCCAGACUCCUACGGGAGGCAGCAGUGGGGGAUAUUGCACAAUGGGUGGGAGCCUGAUGCAGCAACGCCGCGUGCGGGAUGACGGCCUUCGGGUUGUAAACCGCUUUCGCCUGUGACGAAGCGUGAGUGACGGUAAUGGGUAAAGAAGCACCGGCUAACUACGUG